rnacentral:rRNA from 1 species
UACAGAGGGUGCGAGCGUUAAUCGGAAUUACUGGGCGUAAAGCGCACGUAGUCGGCUUUGCAAGUCGGGUGUGAAAUCCCCGGGCUCAACCUGGGAACUGCAUCCGAGACUGCAUUGCUAGAGUAUGGGAGAGGGAAGCGGAAUUUCUGGUGUAGCAGUGAAAUGCGUAGAUAUCAGAAGGAACAUCAGUGGCGAAAGGCGGCUUCCUGGACCAAUACUGACGAUCAGGUGCGAAAGCGUGGGGAGCAAACAGG